rnacentral:misc_RNA from 1 species
AAGUCGUAACAAGGUUUCCGUAGGUGAACCUGCGGAAGGAUCAUUAUGAAGCAUUUAUCUAUGCUAUAACUGUGUAUUACCUAUAUUUGUCACUGUGAUCCAGCUUGCUGGUGAGCGUAUUUGUUGUCGGUGGUUAUUAAUACCAAUCACCGACAAUGAAUGGUGACAGUCUUAUCACAACCAAUGUCUGAAUAAAAGAGAAUAAAAACUCUCAACAAUGGAUCUCUUGGCUCUG